rnacentral:snRNA from 1 species
AAACGUGUCUGGCAGGGGAGACAUCUUGUUCAUGAAGGGUUUUUUCCCAGGGUGAUACUCAGCCAUUGCAUUCCAGCUGUGCUGACCCCUGCAAGUUUCCCAAAUCUAGGAAACUUCACUGCAUAAUUUGUGAUAUUGGGGACUGUGUGUGCAUGUUCCCUGG